UACAGAGGGGGGCAAGCGUUGUUCGGAAUUACUGGGCGUAAAGGGCGCGUAGGCGGCCCGCUAAGUCGAACGUGAAAUCCCCUGGGCUCAACCCAGGAACUGCGUCCGAUACUGGCGGGCUUGAAUCCGGGAGAGGGAUGUGGAAUUCCAGGUGUAGCGGUGAAAUGCGUAGAUAUCUGGAGGAACACCGGUGGCGAAGGCGGCAUCCUGGACCGGUAUUGACGCUGAUGCGCGGAAAGCCAGGGGAGCAAACGGG
rnacentral:rRNA from 1 species